GAUGAACGCUGGCGGCGUGCCUAAUACAUGCAAGUCGAGCGAACGGACGAGAAGCUUGCUUCUCUGAUGUUAGCGGCGGACGGGUGAGUAACACGUGGAUAACCUACCUAUAAGACUGGGAUAACUUCGGGAAACCGGAGCUAAUACCGGAUAAUAUUUUGAACCGCAUGGUUCAAAAGUGAAAAACGGUCUUGCUGUCACUUAUAGAUGGUUCCGCGCUGAAUUAGCUAGUUGGUAAGGUAACGGCUUACCAAGGCAACGAUGCAUAGCCGACCUGAGAGGGUGAUCGGCCACACUGGAACUGAGACACGGUCCAGACUCCUACGGGAGGCAGCAGUAGGGAAUCUUCCGCAAUGGGCGAAAGCCUGACGGAGCAACGCCGCGUGAGUGAUGAAGGUCUUCGGAUCGUAAAACUCUGUUAUUAGGGAAGAACAUAUGUGUAAGUAACUGUGCACAUCUUGACGGUACCUAAUCAGAAAGCCACGGCUAACUACGUG
rnacentral:rRNA from 1 species